CUAAGAAUAUUCCGCAAUGGACGGAAGUCUGACGGAGCGACGCCGCGUGGAUGACGAAGGCCGAAAGGUUGUAAAGUUCUUUUGCUGGGGAAGAAUAACCGCAGGAGGGAAUGCCUGUGGGAUGACAAGAACCGGCGAAUAAGCCCCGGCCAACUACGUGCCAGCAGCCGCGGUAACACGUAGGGGGCGAGCGUUGUUCGGAAUUACUGGGCGUAAAGGGCAUGUAGGCGGCUUGGAAAGCCUGGCGUGAAAGUCUGCAGCUUAACUGCAGGGGUGAGCUGGGAACUGCUGAGCUUGAGUGACGGAGAGGGAGCUGGAAUUCCUGGUGUAGGGGUGAAAUCUGUAGAUAUCAGGAAGAACACCGAUGGCGAAGGCAAGCUCCUGGCCGAUGACUGACGCUGAGGUGCGAAAGUGUGGGGAUCAAACA
rnacentral:rRNA from 1 species